rnacentral:rRNA from 1 species
ACGAACGCUGGCGGCAUGCCUAACACAUGCCAGUCGAACGAGACCUUCGGGUCUAGUGGCGCCCGGGUGCGUAACGCGUGGGAACCUGCCCUUAGGUUCGGAAUAACUCCCCGAAAGGGGUGCUAAUACCGGAUAAUGUCUUCGGACCAAAGAUUUAUCGCCUUUGGAUGGGCCCGCGUUGGAUUAGCUAGUUGGUAGGGUAAAAGCCUACCAAGGCGACGAUCCAUAGCUGGUCUGAGAGGAUGAUCAGCCACACUGGGACUGAGACACGGCCCAGACUCCUACGGGAGGCAGCAGUGGGGAAUAUUGGACAAUGGGCGAAAGCCUGAUCCAGCAAUGCCGCGUGAGUGAUGAAGGCCUUAGGGUUGUAAAGCUCUUUUACCCGGGAUGAUAAUGACAGUACCGGGAGAAUAAGCUCCGGCUAACUCCGUG